UAGCUGGUCCCCAGCCCCAGAUUCCGGGGCAGCGCUGGGGUGGGGUGGGAAGGACGCACAGAGCCCUGGCAACCACACCUGAGCAGAGGGGCAGGGGGACACCUGGACCGUGGGCAUCAGCUGGGGCUCCCCACAGGUCCUGACACACAGCCUGGCCCCGUGCCCAUCGCAAGAGGCCACGGUGGGGAUCGGGCACCCCAAAUCCAGUCGCAGCCUCAGCGCCGAGCAGUGGGGGCCCCUCCUGGGAACUAGGACCCAAGUCCAAAGAGAAGUCAGGCAGGGAGGGACCCGUGGGAGGGACCAAAGGGUCAGCGGGCCAGAGGGGUGCCCAGCUACGGCCAGACCGGAGUCCUGUCCCCCAAACCCCCCGCCAGCAACCGCAGGCCUUGAGAUGCAGAUGAGCAUCUGAGCACGUUCCUGCGCACUCGGGGUCCCCACCUCCAGGAAGACUCCUCUGCUUCCGGGUCUCCCCCGCCUUACUUCUCCAAUCUGGUUGAAGGGGAUAUUUCUUUUCUGGGAAAGUGUGACACAGCCGCCACCACCCUGCUCCUGACUCACUUCACGCACUUGGGGAAGAAGGCCCUUCCCGGCGGCUGACUCCGAGUUGGCUGAGACUGUCAAUCUCCUCUUGCAUAUUAAGUGAAAUGAAAACGGAACAGGUGAAGGACGGGCAGGCAGUGGGUAGGGAAGGCGUCACCACCUCCUACCACCCUCAGUCGCUGCCGCCUGCCUCAGAGCCAGGGUUAGGUUGGGUCAGGAGGGGCCUCUGGCAUCAAGACCCCACUCCCAGCCCCACGGGCUAAGCCUCUCAGCACAUGCACUGCCGGCCAGGAGGGAAGCAACCCUACGGUCGGGAAGACGCUCACGUGCCCAUUUCACAGACUGGAAAGCAGAGGCUCUAAGGAUACUCCCAGAGGCCCAUUUAGGGACUGGCCGGAGCAGCCCCCCCCCCCUUGCACAUCUCUCCCACUGCAGGGGUCCUGGGGGGUCCCAUGAGGCCUCCUUCAGAAAUCCCCAUCCAGGAUAACGUCCACGAUGAUGAGGCUGCACAGCCUCCGGGGGCUGGGGGCUCGGAACAUAAGAAGGCCGGGAGCCAAGCAGGAAGCUGGCGGGAAGCCGCAGCAGGCACCAGGUCCAGGACUGCACGGGUCUCCCUGGGGGCCCCCGCUCGCUUCGUCCAUCAGGCGGCCGCCUCGGCUGCAACGUGGAAUCUAAUUUCACGGUCUAAAGAACUGCUCUGCUUCCACGUCCACCUCCGGCGUGACGGGCUCUGGCGCUGCUGGUGGUGUCUACGUGUGAACCAGGCAUGAACCAGACGGAGUUUCACUCGUUACCCAGGCUGGAGUGCAAUGGCGUGAUCUCGGCUCAUCGCAACCUCCACCUCCUGGGUUCAGGCAAUUCUCCUGCCUCAGCCUCCUGAGUAGCUGGGAUUACAGGCAUGCGCCACCAUGCCCAGCUAAUUUUUUGUGUUUUCAGUAGAGAUGGGGUUUCACCAUGUUGACCAGGAUGGUCUCGAUCUCUUGACCUCGUGAUCCACCCGCCUCAGCCUCCCAAAGUGCUGGGAUUACAGGCUUGAGCCACUGCGCCCGGCUUAACUUCUAUUUUUAAAAAAGAAAAUAAACAGAGCGUGUCGUCAGAGUCUGGGACAGCGAGUGCACGAGGGCAACCUGCCUGCCCAUCAGUGGCUCUGUGCCCAGGGUGCCCACCUGUGCCUCAGUUUCUCUCUGGAACAUGGCAGGUCUGGGGAGGGAGUGCCGACGCUCACCACACCUCAUCCCCUCCAGACUCCGAGAGUGGUCGGUGCUGCAGCCCCCGUAGGAAAGCUGGAGUGUGGACAGGUACAUUUACACCCCAAGGAGCAGACGGCACCCAGGGGCCCUGUCAGCGGCGGAAUCACCCCUCCAUCUGUGGCUGAAGCUUGGCUCUGGCCCUGGCCAGUGUCCCCCUCCCAGCCCAGCCUACUCCUCCUCAGACCUGUACCCUAGAGCUUCCCUGCCAUGUACACCCCCAUCCCUGGUACCUCUGGGGGGGGCCUGCUUGGCCUGGCCUGUGCUCCCGACCCUGCAGGUCCCACCCUAGCCCUGUCCAGGACCUUGGCAGCUUCCAAAAGCAAAGGCUUCAUGAGGUAGAAAUGCCCCCGGGGAGCUGGGGUGUGGAGGGGCUCCCUCCUCAACAAAGGGACUCCUCCUGAGAAACCCCAUACUCCCUUCAUGGGCUCAAGCUGCCCGUCAGCCCCACCCCAAACCCUUUCAGAUGCUGAGGGCACCUCAACAGAGGCACUCCUGACUGAGACCCCCUGGGGGACAGCAGGGCCUAACCCCCUUCCAAGCAGGUCAGUGCCCUCAGCUGGUCCACGGCUCACAGCUCCAGUCCCUGGCCCCCACAAACAUCCUAGUGAUGUCCUCUCUCGGCCUCCACUUGCACACCUCUGGCGACAGAGGGCUCACCCCACAGAAAGAACCUCGUUCCAACACGAGACCCUCCUGGGACAGCCUGGGUCUUCCCUCUCCCCUCACCAGCCUUCCUGGUGAAGCAGCACAGGGGUCAGGGCUGCCUCAGAUGGUCCUGGUCAUCUACUCACAUUCAGGCAGACCCAGGGCCUGCAGCACGGCCUGGAUGGGACACAUUUGGAUCCCCAAGUCAUGUGGACACGUCCCCAGGACAAACGUGGCAUCGACAUCCACGUGGGGACGCCCACCCCAUGGCGACUCUGUGGCUACCCAUGUCCACAGGCAUGGCACAAGCCCCUGAUCAGAGCGACCACCCAGCUCGAGGGGCUCAUCUCGCCCGUGACAAGUCCGGAAAAGACGCCGUCAACACUUAAAGAAUGGGGCCGCUUGAAUCCUGCUCUGUUCGGAACUGCACAGGCGGGCACGGGUGCCUGGGAAGAAAUCAGGAAGGGCAAACGUCCUUUCCUGCUUUCCGCAUGUCCCCGUCUCCUGCAGUGGGUGUGCUUAUCUUUGUAAACAAAAAAAAAUAACCCAUGACCAAGUGUUUGUUUAAGAAACGAAGGGCAGCAGGGGCCUCCAGAACCCCUCGCCCUGACAGACACAGUCCUGUCCGCCCACCGCUCGGGCAAGGCCCCCCACUUCCGUCACACGAUCUCAACUCAGCUCUUGGCUAAUUAAACAGCAUCCGUGGGAGGGGAUGGUCUCAGAUAAGCUGGCUCAGCUCUAAUUGCAGAGGAGAGAAGCUGGCCGGGUACCCCGUCCCAGCAGCCCUUUGCAAUCAUUCCUCAGGAAGGCAUCUCCCAAACACCAGCCCCUCCCCAAAACCACCCGGAGGUGAGCCAAGUCCCCGACUCUGUGGCCUGGGCGGAUGCCAGGAAUCACCAAGAGACCUCUGGCCCACGAGGAGCCACAGCUGCAGCUCCUGGUCAGGACCACGGCCAGCACCCGGGGGAGGCUCUCUUCUUCCCCACUCCUGCCACGCCCCUUCCCCCCCAUCCCCAAGAGUGGCCCCAGUGCCCAGCCAGGUAGGAGGCCAGAGAUAGCACCUACCCCAGGCAGCAGGGAGGCGGCCACAUCUACCCCAGGGAACAGGGCAUCUGCCUCCACAUCAGCCACAUGAGCAGCAAGUGGCAAGAGUGGAGCCCAGAGCCUCCCUUCCCUGCACCCACCUUCUGUUUCCAGCCUGGACAGAUUUCCAUAAAAAUGUAACUUUUCAAUGACAGGAAAAGUGAGGGUUAAUUUCUCUGCACAUUUGGUCCAAGGAGAAGCACCCUUUGAGAUGAGAACAUUUUUACAGCAACCAGACGGCUUCUAGGAAUUCACCCUGCACACAUGUGGAGGUGUGCACAGAGCCCCAUGCAGCACCAUUUGCAGCGGCAAAAUCCCAGCACCUGCUUCAAGGUCCAUCAGUGCGAACUGGUCAGAGAAGUCGUGAGCAGGGCAGAGGAGGCAGAGACAUGGAGUGGCUCUACACCUGUGAGGAGGAGUGAGUGAACACACAGACACGCAGUGCUGCACUGAGGCACACAUGCAGAUAAUGGCUCCAGGAGAGGGUCCAUGGCGGACCUGGGGCACAGAACGGCUCCAGGAGAGGGUCUGUGGCGGGCCUCAAGCAGAGAAUGGCUCCAGGAGAGGGUCCGUGGUGGACCUCGAGCAGAGAACGGCUCCAGGAGAGGGUCCGUGGUGGACCUCGAGCAGAGAACGGCUCCAAGAGAGGGUCCGUGGUGGACCUCGAGCAGAGAACGGCUCCAGGAGAGGGUCCGUGGUGGACCUCGAGCAGAGAACGGCUCCAGGAGAGGGUCCGUGGUGGACCUCGAGCAGAGAACGGCUCCAGGAGAGGGUCCGUGGUGGACCUCGAGGAGAGAAUGGCUCCAGGAGAGGGUCCGUGGUGGACCUCGAGCAGAGAACGGCUCCAGGAGAGGGUCUGUGGCGGACCCGGGGCAGAGAACAGCUCCAGGAGAGGCGCCGUGCAGACAAGGCAGAGACGGGGCAGUGCAUAGGGAGCAAAUCACCCUGGCUGGAUGUCAUUUUAUACAGUCCAGGGUUCCCGUGGAUGUCUUUUCUGUGUGUGUGUGUGUGUGUGUGUGUGUGCGCGCGCGCGUGUCAUGUGAAUCUAACCUAUUCUGGAAGAACAGGUAAGAAGGGGGUCAUCUCCCAGCUGGCAGGAGGCUCUCGCUAGCCCAGGACUUCCCAGCUGCAAUGAGCUAUGCUCACAGCACGGCAUUCAGCCUCGGCCACAGAGUGAGGCGCCUGCUCUCAAAAUAAAUAAAUAACAGAAUUCAGACAUCAGGCCCUGCCCAGCCCCAUCUGGUCUACAAAGGGGACUCCAGGCCACCUCCUGCUCCAACUUGGGGCGACACUCUGCUGGAUGUCCUGACCACCCUCCCCCAGGGAAGCAACCCCAGCUGGCUGAGCGCUACUGCCCUUCCCCUGGCCUCAGCCUCCACGAUAGACAAACUUUAAAGUCCACGGACAUGCCCUCUGCACCCUGAGCCCCAGCUCAGAGCCAGAAACACAUUAACCAAGCACUCGCAGCCUCCCACCCACAGGCCCUCAGAGCAGGGACCCCAACCUUUCAUCCCUGCCCAAAGCUUCUCCCCACCUCCUCCCAGGACAGGGAGCCACCGAGAACCUGGCCUUCUGCUCCCACUCACCCUUCUCUUGUGUUUUCCAAGCCUAAACAGAAAAGCAAACUCGAAAGUUCUCGGGUCAAGGCUAAGGGCUCCGUGGGAAGGAACAGAACUAGAGAAGGCCUGAGGACGAGGCGGGGCAGGCAGAGGCAGCUACCGAGGAAGAUUCCAGAAGGAGGCUCCCUGCAGACCAGGCAGCCUGGAGCCCAGCCUGUCACGCCCUCUAGGAGCUGCCGCGCCACACUGAGAUGAUUCAGGGAGUGCUGAGCCAGUUCCCCACAGGACUGCUCUUCUGUGCAUCCACAGAAUUAUUCCCGCUAAUCCAAAAAAAUUAAAGACCUAAUUUUAUUCAAGCUGGGCAGGCAGUGGAGCCUAAUGACAGUUCCAGAGCAUGUCUGGAAAACAUCCUCAUCCCCAAGCAAGGCAGCCAUGUUCCAAACCACCCCUUCCCCUGCAAGAAGUCACCCACAUCCCCUGCCCAGGGCCAGCCGCUCUGCCAGCACUGGGAACUCCGGGCAGCUGGUGUCCCAAGAGAAGCCUUCUCGGAGGCCCCCCUCUCCACCCGAGCAGACGCCUCCUUGGAGGGAGGGGCCGCCAAGUACCCGAGGCCUCACCCACCCCAGCCCUCACAGGGCAUGGGGUCUGUGGUUCAGAAGGGAUGUGAAGCUCUGUGGAGAGCUCGAGUCGCCGUCCUCCACCACACACUGUCCUGGGGAUCCGUGAGCCACACCCCCGACAUAGGGCAGCCUGUACCCCAGGGUGAGGGCCCCUUUCAAGACCGAGGCCUCCACCGGGGCCGCCAAACCCCACUGAGAGCACAGCACAGGCCCACUGCCAACAGGAGCAAGCGCCUGCACUCUGAUGCCCACGCA